GCCGGCGUGGUGGAAUGGCAGACACGGUCCGCUUAAAACGGGCUGCCCUCGGGCAUGCGGGUUCGAACCCCGCCGCCGGCA
rnacentral:tRNA from 1 species